UAUAUAAAACUUCAAGUUAGAAAUAAAUUUUAUUAAAUUUUAAAUAAAUACAUAAAUACGUUUCGGGACGAAGGGGCUGUGCCCCGAAACGUAUUUAUGUAUUUGUUUGAAAUUUAAUAAAAUUUAUUUCUAACUUGAAGUUUUAUAUA